AAAACGGCCCUUUUCAGGGCCACCAAUUAUCUCGUAACAUUGAAU
rfam:Trachymyrmex septentrionalis contig36189, whole genome shotgun sequence.